UACGUAGGGUGCGAGCGUUAAUCGGAUGUACUGGGCGUAAAGCGAGCGCAGGUGGUUUAUUAAGUCUGGUGUAAAAGGCAGUGGCUCAACCAUUGUGUGCAUUGGAAACUGUUAGACUUGAGUGCAGUAGAGGAGAGUGGAAUUCCAUGUGUAGCGGUGAAAUGCGUAGAUAUAUGGAGGAACACCGGUGGCGAAAGCGGCUCUCUGGACUGUCACUGACACUGAGGCUCGAAAGCGUGGGUAGCAAACAGG
rnacentral:rRNA from 1 species